rnacentral:rRNA from 1 species
GUCGAGCGAGCUUGCCUAGAUGAUUUUAGUGCUUGCACUAAAUGAAACUAGAUACAAGCGAGCGGCGGACGGGUGAGUAACACGUGGGUAACCUGCCCAAGAGACUGGGAUAACACCUGGAAACAGAUGCUAAUACCGGAUAACAACACUAGACGCAUGUCUAGAGUUUGAAAGAUGGUUCUGCUAUCACUCUUGGAUGGACCUGCGGUGCAUUAGCUAGUUGGUAAGGUAACGGCUUACCAAGGCAAUGAUGCAUAGCCGAGUUGAGAGACUGAUCGGCCACAUUGGGACUGAGACACGGCCCAAACUCCUACGGGAGGCAGCAGUAGGGAAUCUUCCACAAUGGACGAAAGUCUGAUGGAGCAACGCCGCGUGAGUGAAGAAGGGUUUCGGCUCGUAAAGCUCUGUUGGUAGUGAAGAAAGAUAGAGGUAGUAACUGGCCUUUAUUUGACGGUAAUUACUUAGGAAGUCACGGCUAACUACGCGCCAGCAGCCGCGGUAAUACGUAGGUGGCAAGCGUUGUCCGGAUUUAUUGGGCGUAAAGCGAGUGCAGGCGGUUCAAUAAGUCUGAUGUGAAAGCCUUCGGCUCAACCGGAGAAUUGCAUCAGAAACUGUUGAACUUGAGUGCAGAAGAGGAGAGUGGAGCUCCAUGUGUAGCGGUGGAAUGCGUAGAUAUAUGGAAGAACACCAGUGGCGAAGGCGGCUCUCUGGUCUGCAACUGACGCUGAGGCUCGAAAGCAUGGGUAGCGAACAGGAUUAGAUACCCUGGUAGUCCAUGCCGUAAACGAUGAGUGCUAAGUGUUGGGAGGUUUCCGCCUCUCAGUGCUGCAGCUAACGCAUUAAGCACUCCGCCUGGGGAGUACGACCGCAAGGU